AACGCGAAGAACCUUACCUGGGCUUGAACCGCACAGGACCAUCUUUGGAAACAGAGACUUCCCGCAAGGGACCUGUGUAGAGGUGCUGCAUGGCUGUCGUCAGCUCGUGCCGUGAGGUGUUGGGUUAAGUCCCGCAACGAGCGCAACCCUUACUCGUAGUUGCCACCCGCAAGGGGGAACUCUACGAGGACUGCUCCGGAUAACGGAGAGGAAGGUGGGGAUGAGGUCAAGUCAGCAUGGCCUUUAUGUCCAGGGCUACACACGUGUUACAAUGCGCGCCACAAAGCGUCGCGAACCCGCGAGGGGGAGCUAAUCGCAAAAAAGCGCGCUCAGUUCGGAUUGCAGUCUGCAACUCGACCGCAUGAAGCCGGAAUCGCUAGUAAUGGCGCAUCAGAACGGCGCCGUGAAUACGUUCCCGGGUCUUGACACACCG
rnacentral:rRNA from 1 species